UACAGAGGUCUCAAGCGUUGUUCGGAUUCAUUGGGCGUAAAGGGUGCGUAGGCGGCGCGGUAAGUCGGGUGUGAAAUCUCGGAGCUUAACUCCGAAACUGCAUUCGAUACUGCCGUGCUUGAGGACUGGAGAGGAGACUGGAAUUUACGGUGUAGCGGUGAAAUGCGUAGAUAUCGUAAGGAAGACCUGCGGCGAAGGCGGGUUGCUGGGCCGACACUGACGCUGAUGCGCGAAAGCCAGGGGAGCGAACGGG
rnacentral:rRNA from 1 species